rnacentral:rRNA from 1 species
AGAGUUUGAUCCUGGCUCAGGAUGAACGCUGGCGGCGUGCUUAACACAUGCAAGUCGAACGGUGAAGCCCAGCUUGCUGGGUGGAUCAGUGGCGAACGGGUGAGUAACACGUGAGCAACCUGCCCCUGACUCUGGGAUAAGCGCUGGAAACGGCGUCUAAUACUGGAUAUGUACCACGAUCGCAUGGUCUGUGGUUGGAAAGAUUUUUCGGUUGGGGAUGGGCUCGCGGCCUAUCAGCUUGUUGGUGAGGUAAUGGCUCACCAAGGCGUCGACGGGUAGCCGGCCUGAGAGGGUGACCGGCCACACUGGGACUGAGACACGGCCCAGACUCCUACGGGAGGCAGCAGUGGGGAAUAUUGCACAAUGGGCGCAAGCCUGAUGCAGCAACGCCGCGUGAGGGAUGACGGCCUUCGGGUUGUAAACCUCUUUUAGCAGGGAAGAAGCGAAAGUGACGGUACCUG